GGGGGGGGGGGGGGGGGGGGGGGGGGGGGGGGGGGGGGGGGGUAUUUUAACAUUAGUGUUCUGAUUUGAUUCACCACACGCGCUGUAUUGAAGGAUUUCACUUGUUUUUUUUACGUUUAAAUUUGCAUAUUUUACCUUUAAAUUUUUGAAAAGCUUUCCAACAGGUAUACUUACCUACCUUAUUAUAGAUUUCGUUUUUACACUGGAAAUAUUUAUAAACACUCACUGAACCAGAGAGUUUCCUUUAACACAUUAUCGGUUAUAAACACCUCAUUACAUGUGAAACACGAUCACCUUCCCUGGGAGGGUAGGGGUUUAAGGGGGGGUACCGGGUACAACCCCCCCACCCCGGAUCAGCCUUUGUGUUCAGUCCUUGGAUGGUAACCCCCACAGCUGCAAGAUGGAUGAUUGGUCAACGCACCUGCAGUCAAGACCUCACAAGCUGUGACUGACCCUGAGGAGCCCCUGUCAAAAGAAGCCACUGCAUCACUGCCAACCGAAACGAGGAUUUUGUGAUCCUCUUUGGGAGAGUUUUUUCAAGCUUUUUCCAAACUCCGUCCGUCCUUCCCAGGUGCGAACGUGUGCUGGACACCCACAGGCGACCGACAUUGAGCGGAGCACUCGUAUGUGACGUUGAGUGGGGUCUAGCGCACACUUGCGCUUAGAAUUAGAUUCCCGAUCGUCCAGAUCCAAGUGUUUGUAAUGUACCGUGAUGAAUCCUGGUUCUCAAACCUGUCCGAAGUGAUGAAGACCAUGAUCCAAACAUUCCAAAAUCGACAAGUUCUCAGCAUGAACACCAUUUGUACCUGCAUCAUUUUCAGUGCAGUGUGUAUGAUAUGCACUAAUGUGUUGCAGAUGUUAUUUGCCGUACAGCUUCAGCAUGACAGACGUGCGAGGCAUCAUUGCAGAAAAAUCGCAAAACCAUCAGAAAAUAUUCGGUGAAGAAAAGUCGAUCGGUGCAGCCUCUGCUCACUGUGGGGCACGUGAUCCAAGACAAUGGAGCUUCCAAUCGAGCUGGUUGCUUGGCAACGCUAACACGCACCUCCUCUGUCUAUUUUUAUCUUUUGUCGCACUUGCAUAAAAAAAAAAUUUCCUGUAGCUGUAAGCCUUUUAAUGGAGAGCUUAUUCAAAUCACUGAUGGAUCCCUGCCCUUCGACAAGGUCAGAGACUGGGACAUUAAAAUGAGCUCCGUCCAACCGUCUGUCAAUCGUUUGUCCAUUUACUUUUGUGUACAUGAUAUUCAACAAAAAUAGUUGAACAUUUACCUUUCAUGUUGCAGAUAUCUACUCCUCAUAACAUCAUCUCAAUACGAUUAAAUAAUGGCUCUAAUCUGUCACCAUGGCAACAAUCUUGGUAACUUGGCUUGUGCAUGUGAUAUUUCAAAAACCAUUCAAGAUGUAGCUUUAGAGGAGGGGAGGGGUGGGGGAAAGAUAGAGGAGAGAGGAGAGAGAGGGAGGGAGGAGGGGUGAGUAGUGGGCGGAGCUCGGGGGGGGGGG
rnacentral:lncRNA from 1 species